CCAGAGCACUACGAGCUACAGCUUAAACUCAAAGGACUUGGCGGUGCCCUAUACCCACCUAGAGGAGCCUGUUCUAUAAUUGAUAAUACCCAAUAAACCUUGCCGCCCCUUGUAAACACAGCUUAUAUACCACCGUCACAAGCCCACCCUAUAAAGGACUCAUAGUAGGCUAAACUAUUAAAAAUAAAAAUGUCAGGUCAAGGUGUAGCACAUGAGUCGGAAAGAAAUGGGCUACAUUUUCUUAAAAGAAAACACGGAAUAUUUUAUGAAAUAAAAUAUGAAGGAGGAUUUAGCAGUAAAUAAAGAAUAGAGAGCUAUUUUAAAAUUGGCAAUAGGACGAGCACACACCGCCCGUCACCCUCUUUAUAUACAUAUAUAAUUAAAUAAAAAAAUCAAUAUUUAAGAAGAGGAAAGUCGUAACAUGGUAAGUCUACCGGAAGGUGGCCUUGGAA
rnacentral:rRNA from 1 species